UUGUGUAUGAAAUCCAUAAAAUGCUUUCUAGAGAAGAAACUAAAAAAAAUAUACAUCAAGCAUGAGAGGAGCUCUGCAUCAUCCGUAGCAACAGGUCAACGAGCAUUUUUUUGAAAGAAACAUCGUCGGGAAAAAGGACGUUCGACUCCCGAGGUCGAUAACGUCAGUUGGUCAUCUGUCAAGGACCUCAUUGGACCUAGGGCCCUCGUAGGCUGGAUAAAACACCUCAACCUGCUUUUGAUAUUUGUGGUUCGGAUACAGGAUUCUCUGACUUUCCCGAACAAUAUUUCGUUGUCUAGAUCUUUUCCUAAUAAUAUUCCUUUGGUCUCUUCCGCUAUUCUAGUCAUUUGAAGCAUUUGAGAGCCAAAGCGGUUGGUUCUACGUGCCUUGCUUCCUUUCCAAAUAAUAUUCCUCUCUCCAAAUCUCCGGGUCGUCAUCCUCAUUAUACAGAUUCUUUUGAUCACCCCCUUCACUUUGGGAGGGAUAAUUUGCGUAGAGAUUGCCCGGUCAAGCCAGAGAAGAGAUCCAGGCGAUCUGGGCUGUUUCAAUACAAGCGUCAGACUCCUAAAGUCCUUUUGUUUGACGACAUUUUAUCUCCUCAAAUCCAAGAUCUUAAAGCCACUGCUCUCAUUUGCAAAUUUUGGCGCUUUACUCCUCCCAUUUCAGAAUUGAAAACGUGGGUAUUUGAGCACUGGCAUGGAGCGAACCAGAUAUUUUACAUUAAUAAAGGUUCAAGUCAUGGAUACCCAAUUUCAACCCCCGUAGCAAUCGAUUGAGGUUUGUACCCUUGUGGGUGCAGAUGCGGGCUCUUCCUUUGGAGUACAAGAACCUUUCAUAGUAGAAAAUCUGGCUUACCAGUUUGGAAAGUUUCUGGAUCAUGAUUUGCAUUUUUUUAGUAAUCCUCAUUUACCGGUUAGGGUUUGUGUGUUGUUAAAUAUGGAUAAUCCGCUUCCAAAAAAAAUCAUCAUUAAAUGCUCUUUGGGCCCUUGGGUUCAAAAUUGGUUCCUUGAGACUUCCUGGAAUGUAUGUCAUUCUUGUCACAUUUCUGGUCACAUAGAGAAGCACUGCAAAAAAAUCCUCUUCUGGCCGCAUAGAGAAGCACUGCAAACAAUCCUCUUCUGGAUUGGAAAACCAGGACUUAUUUUUUGACCAACCUGUUACUAAGCAACUGAAAGUUAAGGAGAUAGUUGUUUGCCCUGAUCCUGGGGUUGUUUUAAUUUGGGAUAAGGGAUCCACUUCUCAUUCGUCUUUUUUACACGACCUGCCCUUCUUUCGACCUUUGUUUCCGCAGUGUAUGAGGUUGCAGGACAAAGUUUCAAAUAACAUGUGUUUCUUUGUUUCAGAAUCAAAUUCCUUGGCUCUGCAUUUGUUUGUUCCAGAUUUUAAACCCUCAAAACUUCAGGUUAAGCAUUUAGCAUCCUCUCUAACCUGGGGUGCUUCUACUGUAUCUUCCAUGUUAUUCUUGGAAGCGCCUCCAGAUCAAAAUUUGAUGUAGGAAAAUUCUUUUGAUUCAAAAAUUCGCUCUCUCUCUGGAAGAGAUAGAUUUCCCAGUCAGUAGCACAAAUUUGGUCGACAGAUCGAAUGUUCAUCACAACAAAAAAUGUUUGGUGUUACCUGAUAUAGAGAUUUUGAAUCAAGAUAGAGAUGGAGGUGGGAAAAUAGAUUCUCAGUCAGAAGAAUUAACUUGCCACAAUUUGGCAUCUCUAUUGAUCUCUCUGUCUUCUUCAAGUUCUCAGGUUUUGGUUGAAGAUGAUCAUUUUCUCAAGCUCUCUUUCUAUCCAACAAUCCCCUUCUUUACCACUCCAGAAGUCUCUUAAUAAGAGAGGAUGAAAAAAGCUGGAUUUUAUUACUUAAUAAGAGAUUGCCUCUGGUAAGCAAUUAACAUUGAAUGGCAGUAUCAAGAAAAUAUUGAGGGGAGCCAGUAGCUCUCCGAAUUCUCUAUGAAAAUUGUAUCUUGGAAUGUCAGGGGUCUAAAUUCCCCUGACAAAAGAGCCCGUAUCAAGCACUAAUUGGAUGCUUGUGGGGCAGAUAUUGUAUUUCUUUAGGAAACUAAGUUGUCAGUUGAUAAUUUUAAUGCUUCUUUUUCAAAUUGGACGAGAUGGAAAUCCUUUCACACAACCUCAAAUGGAGCAUCAGGGGGUCUGUUGGCCUUAUGGAAAUCUUCCUCAGUCACCUUGCAUCAUUUAGUGGACUGUCCAAAUUGACAAGCUUACAAAGUUGUCCAUUUUGACUUACAAUUCCUAAUUCUUAAUGUUUAUGCCCCCAACUCCACUCAAGGAAAAGAAAUCUAUGGGGUAGUAAAGAGUCUUUUAUUGAUCAGUUAGAACCUCUUAAGGUGGUUCUUGCUGGAGAUUUUAAUGCUAUUCUGGAUUUGAAUGAUAAGAAAGGAGGUAUUAUCCCUCCUACCAAAGUUAUGAAUGAUUUCAAUGUAUUUGUUCAAAACAAUGUACUCAUUGAUGUCAUUCUGUUUAAGGGCUCAUUUACUUGGACGAAUAAGAGGCAAGAUCACUUCCAUAUUGCUGUUAGACUAGAUCGUUUUCUAGCUUCUACUUUAUGGUUUGCAGAUGAAUAUGUAUUUCAAUAUGAAAUUCUUCCAUGGUCUGAAUCAGAUUACUUUCCGAUUAAUCUUUCUCUGCGAAUCCCUAAUCAGAGCUCGGGUCCAAAGGCUUCUUUCAAAUUUCAAUCCAUGUGGUUCAAGCAUCAAGAUUUCCUUCCUCUUUUGCAAUCAAAAAAUGAAAUAUUUGAAGGUUCAGAUUAAAGAAUGGAAUAACAGUGUGUUCAAAACCAUUUUUAACCAAAAAGAUGCUCUCUAAAGAAUUACAAGCUAUCAAUGAACAAAUUAUUCUAAAUGGUAUGUAUGCAACAUCAUACAAGGAGCAAAGAUUGCUUCAAUCUGAAUGGGAGGAAAUUCUAGCCAGAGAAGAGUGUUAUUGGAGACAAAAAUCUAGGGAACUUUGGCUGAAGGAAGGAGACUAAAAUACUAAAUUUUUUCAUCGUUCAACUCAAACUAAGAAAGCAAGAAAAUCUAUCUUUUCAAUUUCCCAUAGUAUUUCAAGCUAGAGACUUUCGAGUAAAGAAGAUAUAAAGCAAGAAGCAGUUGAUUUUUUCUCUAGGCUCCUUUUGGAUUCCCAUCAUGAUAAAGUUCAUUCUACUGCAAAUAAACAUCAGUUGUUGGAUUCAAUUCCUUCCUUUAUUUCAGAUGAUGAUAAUUGCUUAUUGACUAAACCUUUCACCUUGAAAGAGCUGAAGAUGGUUGUUUUCUCAAUGGCCCCAGAUAAAGCUCCAGGCCUUGAUGGGUUCACUGCUCUUUUUUUCCAAAAAAGUUGGGAUUCAUAUGUUUAGACUUGCUCAAAGCCUUAGAAUAAUCUCGUCGGUCUAGUAAAAUGCUCUCUCAGUUUAAUACACUCAUAUUGUUCUUAAUCCAAAGACCUAGUCUCCAGUUACCUUCUCAGAUUUCAGACCUAUCUCUUUAUGUAAUACUAUUUAUAAAAUUUUCAUGAAGGCUAUCUAUAUGAGAUUGCAUCAUUUGGUACCAAAAUUUAUCUCAUCAGAACAAGGAGGUUUUGUUCCAGGUAGAGAGACUGCUGAGGGUGCUAUUGUUGCCCAUGAGGUGCUGCAUUUUAUUUGUACUUUCAAAAUUAUUUCCUUAAUCAUCAAAUUGGACAUGAUGAAAACAUAUGAUAGAGUAAAUUGGGAUUUUUAAUGGAUAUUUUCUAUAAGAUGGGUUUUGAUAGGAAAUUGGGCAGAUGGAUUCAUGCUUGUAUAUCGGGAGCAAUAUUUUCAGUGUUAAUCAAUGGUUCAGCAACAUGUUUCUUCUCCUCCUCUCAAGGAAUCAGACAAGGAGGUCCUUUGUCUCCACUUCUAUUCAUUAUUUUGGCAGAGGCAUUGAACAGGUCUAUUAAGAAGGCACAUGAUGAUGGGUUUUGGAAAGGAGUAAAUAUUCCUCACACACCUAUUGAUGUUACACAUUCACUAUUUGCAGAUGAUACAAUUUUUUUUGGAUCAACAACUCUGUCAGAAGCAAAGUAUAUCAAAGAAACCUUGGACACCUAUAUGAUUGCAUCUAAUCAGAAAAUAAAUCCUCAAAAGUCCAAAAUCUUCAUACAAAAUGCUGAUCCUCGGAUUCAAGAUUCAAUUUUGCAUACUUUGGGAUUUCAACAUGCUGAAUUACCCUCUCAGUAUUUAGGCAUUCCUUUUUUUUUUUUUUUUCUGGCACAUCUCGAGUUUCUUACUGGGAUAAGGUCAUUCAAAAUAUUUAGAAUCGAAUUGUAGGUUGGAAAGGUAGGUGGCUUUCUUUAUCAGGAAGAAUUCUUAUGAUCAAAAUAGUCUUAUCAACAAUUCCAAAUUACUUCAUGGUAGUCUUAAAAACUCCUCGAGCUAUGAUAAUUGUAUUAGAAAAGUUAAUUAGAUCCUUUCCUUGGAAGUGUAACAUGGAUGGAAAGAAAAAAAUCCCCUUGAUUUCCUUACAAAAAAAUUGCUCUAGCAAGUUAACAGGUGGUGAUGGAGUCCACAAUUUAUCAGCAAGACACUUAUCUUUGGGGGCUAAGCUAGUUUGGAAUAUGUAUGCAAAAUCUUUGGCAAACUGGUGUACUAUUUUUCAAGCUAAGUAUUUAGAUUCUAAUUCUCCAUCCAGGAUCUUCACACUAGAAAAUCCACCUUCAGGUUUAGUUAUGUGGAAUUUUCUUAUUUCUUGUAGAAAACUUAUUUCUCCCCACUUAACUUGGGAAAUUCAUGAUGGGGAAACAACAUCUUUUUGGUAUAAUUCUUAGAAUGCAUACCCCCGAUUGCAAUCGGUCCCACAGUUUCACGAUGCAGAACAAUACUUUUGUCCAAUUCUAGGUACCAAGGCGAAAGACUACUUCAAAUCUAUAGAUAGAAUUAUAGGGAAAGUUUUAUGGAAAAGCCUUGAAGCUUCAUGCUUUUCUCUUGAUCUUCUCAAUGACCUUAAUGAAGCAAUUGAGAGAUGCCUUGUGUUUAUAAAUCAUAAUAGUGAUAUGCUAAAAUGGGCGCCUUCAAAAACAGGACAAUAUACAGUGAAGCUAGGCUACAAAGCUGCAAUUUCACAUCAAGGACAACUCAUUUCACAGAGAGCUUUAUCUUUUUGUUGGUCUCUAGGAAUACUUCCUAAAGCUAGAUGCUUUAGUUGGCUAGCUUUGAAACAUAGAAUUCUCACAAGUGAUCGCCUUGUCAAACUAGGGAUCUCACACAAUCCUUUUACAUGUGUUCUCUAUCAAAUGGCAUGUGAGGAUGUUGAUCACCUUUUCCUGCAUUGUCCAUUUACUUCUGCUUGUUGGUAGUUUGUGAAAGACAAGCUUCAUUGGCAGGCACCUUUGACACAAAAUUUGUGGAAUAUGUUUUCAGCUUGGCCUGUUUUAUAUAAUACCCCCUUGUUUGCAAUUAUAUGGAGAAUUGUACCCUCAACAUUAAUUUGGUGCAUCUGGUGAGAGAGAAAUAAAAGGAUUUUUCAGAAAGCAAACUUCAUCAUUACCAAUGGUAAUUGCCACACUGGAAAAGAUAUCAGGUGAAGUAACAAAUGCUUAUGUAUCAAAAACAAAGCAUGUUGGUUCUAUUUUCACAGAUUGGGAUAAUUCUUUACUAAAAACUUGCCCUAAGCUCUGUUUGCCAUUCAAAGGUAGUUAGCAUUCUAGUCAGAUAUUCAAGAUUGAUAGAAAUAAAGUUAAAUGACAUUCUCCUUCAUCUAAUCAGGUUAAAUUGAACUUCGAUGGCUCUUCCAAAGGAAAUCCGGGCCCCUUGGGUGCUGGUGUUUUAUUAAGGGAUCAUAGGGGAUGUAUUAUUUAGGCUAAGGCAAUCAAACUUCCAGAUGGAACUAACAACCAAGCUGAAGUUCAAGCUUUGCUUUAUGGUUUGCAGAUGGCUAGGAAUUUAAACAUUGAAAAUUUGGUCAUCGAAGGGGACUCUUUAUUGGUUAUUAAUGCUUUCAGGGGUCAAACAAAGUGCAAUUGGAAAAUCAAUUAUGUUUUGGAGCAGGCUCGAGGGUUGUUGUCAUUCUUGGAAUCUUAUGAAAUUAAUCAUGUUUAUAGGGAAGCCAACAAAGCCGCUGAUGCUCUCACAGAUAUGGAAACUGUACAAGGACAAUGGGACUACACCUUUGACAUACAUGAUGACACAAUUCCACAUAAAUUGCUUCAAAUAUUACAGGACGAAAGGAUUCAGUAAUAAUUAUCCCCUUCACUUAGUUGAUUCUAAUGUGGUUUUUGGCAGGUUUAUUUGUUGAUACAAUGUUUGGCAACUUUUCUCGCAUUUUAUGGGAGAAGUAAUUUCUGAUUUUCCCGUUGUGUGGAAAUGUUUGUGAGGUGAUGAUUGGGAUCAAGUGUGGUACUUUUUUUACAAGUGGCAUUUCAACAAUUCCGUCCUCUGACAUUUUAUGUGCUCAAGUAACAUAUUAAUUGGCAAACUCAUUUUUAAAUGAGAUUCUAUCUUACUUGUUUCAUUAAUGAUUUCUUUGUAUUUUCGACAAGAUUUUUUCAAAAAAUAUUUAAAUUCGCCGGUGCUCAAUCAA